rnacentral:rRNA from 1 species
UGCGUAGGCGGAAGAUUAAGUCAGUGAUGAAAUCCUGCAGCUCAACUGUAGAACUGUCAUUGAUACUGAUUUUCUUGAAUACAGUUGAGGUAGGCGGAAUAUGUAAUGUAGCGGUGAAAUGCUUAGAUAUUACAUAGAACACCGAUUGCGAAGGCGGCUUACUAAACUGUGAUUGACGCUGAGGCACGAAAGCGUGGGGAGCGAACAGGAUUAGAUACCCUGGUAGUCC